UCGACCGUAUUGACGGGUUCGAGCAAUGCGCCGUCCCGGAUUCCCGGUCCGCCGCCGCGAACGUCCGCGGAAGCGACGGCGGCCUUGUCGAAGAUCACUGCCGUCACGCCGGAUGCGAUGGUUGCAUCAUGGGCGUGGCCGACGCGGACGCCGGGGAUGUCGGUGAGCAGAUUCUUCAUAUUUCUUCUCUUUCCCGGUCACGCCCGAUCACAACAAACGGAAGGACAGAGGCCGGAGCUUGCAUAGCAUAUGGGCGACAGUGCAAUAAGCGGCAUGAUCCAGGACGUUUCCAUUCCCGCCGCGCUCGCGGCCGGUAUCAUCAG
rnacentral:misc_RNA from 1 species